GCCGAUGUAGCUCAAUGGUAGAGCAAGUGAUUUGUAAUCACUAGGUUGGGGGUUCGAUUCCCUUCAUCGGCUCCA
rnacentral:tRNA from 1 species